GUGCAGUUAAGGGGCCUAACGCGACUUUGCUCAUGAAAUACAAAAUGGUGUGUUGGUUGGUCCAGACAUCAUGAUGAUACCUAUGAAAGUCGGAAACCACUAAGGAGAGUGCAUAACAACUAACUCACCUGCCGAAUCAUCCAACCCCCCCACUGAAAAUGGAUAGAUGCCCCCGAGUAUUGAACCUAUCUAUACUGUAC
rnacentral:ncRNA from 1 species